GAUGAACGCUGGCGGCGUGCCUAAUACAUGCAAGUCGAGCGAAAAGACGAGGAUCUUGCUCCUCUUACGUUAUCGGCGGACGGGGAAGUAACACGUGGCUAACCUACCUAUAACACUGAGAUAACUUCGAGAAACCGGAGCUAAUACCUAAUUAUCUAUUGAACCGCAUGGUUCUAUAGUUAAAGGCGGUUUUGCUGUCACUUGUAGAUGAAUCCGCGCCGGCUUAUCUGCUUGGUAAGGUAACGGCAUCCUACGGCGACGAUGACUAGCCGCCCUCCGAGGGUGAUCGGCCACGGUGGAACUGAGACACGGUCCAGACUCCUACGGGAGGCAGCAGUAGGGAAUCUGACGCAAUGGGCGAAAGCCUGACGGAGCAGCGCCGCGUGAGUGAUGAAGGUGUUCGGAUCGUAAAACUCUGUUAUUAGGGAAGAACAAAUGGGUAAGUAACUAUGCGCGUCUUGACGGUACCGAAACAGAAAGCCACGGCUAACUACGUG
rnacentral:rRNA from 1 species